rnacentral:rRNA from 1 species
UACAGAGGGUGCUAGCGUUAUUCGGAUUUACUGGGCGUAAAGCGCGCGCGGGCUGUUAAGCAAGUCUACUGUGAAAGCCUCCGUUUCAAGCGGAGAAGUGCAGUAGAUACUACUUGACUAGAGUGCAGGAGGGAGGAGCGGAAUUCCAGGUGUAGAGGUGAAAUUCGUAGAUAUCUGGAGGAACAACGGUGGCGAAGGCGGCUCCUUGGACUGUAACUGACGCUGAGGCGCGAAAGCGUGGGGAGCAAACAGG